CCUACGGGAGGCUGCAGUGGGGAAUAUUGGACAAUGGGGGGAACCCUGAUCCAGCCAUGCCGCGUGUGUGAAGAAGGCCCUCGGGUUGUAAAGCACUUUCAGUGAGGAAGAACGCCUGGUGGUUAAUACCCAGCAGGAAAGACAUCACUCACAGAAGAAGCACCGGCUAACUCCGUGCCAGCAGCCGCGGUAAUACGGAGGGUGCGAGCGUUAAUCGGAAUUACUGGGCGUAAAGCGCGCGUAGGUGGCUUGAUAAGCCGGUUGUGAAAGCCCCGGGCUCAACCUGGGAACGGCAUCCGGAACUGUCAAGCUAGAGUGCAGGAGAGGAAGGUAGAAUUCCCGGUGUAGCGGUGAAAUGCGUAGAGAUCGGGAGGAAUACCAGUGGCGAAGGCGGCCUUCUGGACUGACACUGACACUGAGGUGCGAAAGCGUGGGUAGCAAACAGGAUUAGAUACCCUUGUAGUC
rnacentral:rRNA from 1 species